AACGCACAUUGCGCCCUGUGGUAUUCCGCGGGGCAUGCCUGUUCGAGCGUCAUUAUACCCAUCAAGCCUAGCUUGGUAUUGGAGCUUGCAUAUGUGUAGCUCUUAAAAACCUUAGCAGUCUGAUAUAGACCCUAAGUGCAGUAAAUCUCCUCACUUUUUGGGCUCUGUAGAAGCUGUCCCUUAUACUUUUCAAGGUUGACCUCGGAUCAGGUAGGGAUACCCGCUGAACUUAA
rnacentral:misc_RNA from 1 species